CUGUUUCCUAUGAAGCUGUGCAGGUCGUAGCAGACUAUGAAACUGAGACCAGGAUAGAAAAUUUGCAAGGUGUUUAUUAGCAGAAAAAAAGAAGCUAGGGGAGGUUGCUUUCAAUUCACACAGUUACUUCUGCUUUGCUUCAGACUAUCUGCCUUCUAAAACCCAUAGUGGCAGUAAGAAGGAAAUAUUGCACAUCUCUAUCUCUGGAGUUGUCUGGCUAAUUUACUGUGUGUAAGCAUAACAACAGUUAUGUGUUGUCGUUCGCUGAUACUAUAUUCUCUUCAAAAAAGAUGUGCAGGCAAAUGAGCUCCGUUGUUUCUACUGCAAAUGCAAAUCCAGAAAUCUCCAUGGAAGGCAGUAAAGUGAUGUAAAUCAAUGUGAAUUUGAACAAAGAAUUGUUGGGAUUCCACAAAUGAUCAUAUUGCUGUGUUUCCUAAUGGCCGUGAUACAGCCCCUGAUUUCACAGAGCAUGCCCAGAUUAAAGACCCAGGGUAACUGUGUGUGCUCCAAAAUGUCUGUAAAGCUGGUGGGUAGGAAAAGCCUGUGAGCUUUGUAGCUCUGCUGGAUGCAAGAGGUAUUCUAGCACCUGGGUGAGCUGGGGUGCCAAUGGGACAGGAGUAGACAUUAAUAAAUGGGAGUUGAGAAGAGGCUUGGCUGGCAGGAACUUGUCCCUUAGCUUUUCUGUACCUUCACAACAAGAGCUAGUAGAGGAGCAAUGUAACCAAGGUCUGGUUUAGUCUAUAUGGAGAGCACAUUUGCUGAUACUGGAAAAGGGAGGUGCAAAUUGUCACAUCUUUGCCUCCUGACCAGCAGUACUGCUCCUCUCAGACAAGAAAUCUCCCAGCCACAGCACAGCUUCUGGACCUAUGUUGAUGAUAUUGGAUUCCCCAUGACUAAGGGACAUGCUGUAGCGUGGCACUCCAUAGGUCAUGUUGAUGGUUGGACUUGAUGAUUUUGAAGGUCUUUUCCAACCUAAAUUUUACUUCUGUGAUUCUAUGACAAGCUGCAAAACCUGAAAGUCGGGAGAUGUGGCUGGGCACAUGCCAGGUCCUGUACUGCAGCCCUGACGUUAAGUGAGGGGUGAUAUUUAGGGUGUAAUGUGUGUUAGACAAGCUCUGUGAUUUUGUGGAUGUACGCUGCCCACAGUAGCAAGCACUUAAUGCAUCAUUAGAUUUUGCAAUAAUUGGCUAUCACAAGCUCCUUUACAAGAGGAGAAGUGAUUUUCUUGGCAUCACAUCGUGUGUAAUUGUGCCAUUAGUCAUGUGCCAGUGCCAGUAUGUUUGACUUGUUUGUUGUAUAAUGUUUCAGGUGAAUCCUACUUAAGAUUUAUUCUUUAAUGUUCACCAUGCCAAUGUAAAACAUAUAGUUUGAGCAUACCUUUUGCCAUCAGGUUGGAAAAAAUGCACCUUGAUGCAAAAAGGGUGUCGAGAUUUGAAACUUCUCAAUGACAAAUGAUAGAGACAUCAAGUACCUUGUUCCUGUAUAUCACUGCUUUGACUAUGACGUGCUUUUUAUAAAACACUGUGGGUUUUAUUCUUGUCCCCAGAAUACCCUUGGAACUGAGGCGUACAGUCCCAGCAGCGUUAUUAUGCUGACAGAAAAGAUUUUAAUUUUUAGGCAGUUAUAAAAUAUAUGAAUGCAGGCAUAACGUCUUAAUUGCAUAAUGUAAUACCAGGAAUAGCUCACCAGUCAUGUUAAUCAGAUCAUCAUUCACUCAAAAUCCCAAUCAUUUGCAGUAUCGGUUGUCUAAAUGGAGGUCAGAAAAGACGCUGGUAGGUCAGUAAUUAGUGCUGCUAUUGAAAGCUUGUGCUCAGUGGAUGGGACAGUAAUUAGGACUUAUAUGAAACUUGAAAUAUUUUACAUGAGUGGCUGGUACAGUCUUGUUGUUUCUUUUUUUUCUCGUGUUCCUAUGAAUUCUCAUCCACUUGACUUUAAUACUUCUUGAUUGGAACAGUCCACAAACUAAAGGAAGAACUGUCUUCAAAUCGUUAGCUCUUCAGUCUUUUUCAGUUAACGCAGCUGAUGUAAAGCCAGUGUUUUCAAAUUAAUCCGAAGUCUGUACGGCACUGCAUCUGUUCCAUUCAGUUAUGUCCAUUUAAAAUAAUUAUAAUAGAAAUUCCGCCUUGCUGAGAAAGCUCCACACAGCUGGAGUCCUCCUGCUAACCUGUAUAAAACCAACAGGCAGCACAUCUUUCUUGUUAGCAAUUCUGCACAGUGCCAGUACAUUUCAAAGCACUUGGAUUGCUACAAGUAACGUCAGGAAGACUGAAAAGACGAAUAAGAAUGUUGUGGGCAUUUUUAGGAAAACUAAUAUAUUAAAUAAGCAAAGGAUAAU
ensembl:lncRNA